rnacentral:lncRNA from 1 species
AUAUAACAAAAAUUCCUACUAACCACCAAUGAAUACAUAUUACCCACAAAAUAAGAAAGCUCACAAAUGGCUGAAGGUCUAGCGGAUUCCCUUCGACGCUACACUUGAUCUAAGAACCUGAAAGAAAGGGAAAAAAUGGGGCAAGUUCAAAAGAGCUUAGUGAGUUCCUGGAAGAUAAUAAUAGACGUCAAGAUAUGCAAACUCAGG